rnacentral:misc_RNA from 1 species
GAUGAAGAACGUAGCGAAAUGCGAUAAGUAAUGUGAAUUGCAGAAUUCAGUGAAUCAUCGAAUCUUUGAACGCACAUUGCGCCCCCUGGUAUUCCGGGGGGCAUGCCUGUCCGAGCGUCAUUUCAACCCUCAAGCCCCCGGGCUUGGUGUUGGGGAUCGGCGAGCCUCCGCGCCCGCCGUCCCCUAAAUCUAGUGGCGGUCUCGCUGUAGCUUCCUCUGCGUAGUAGCACACCUCGCACUGGGAAACAGCGCGGCCACGCCGUUAAACCCCCAACUUCUGAACGUUUGACCUCGGAUCAGGUAGGAAUACCCGCUGAACUUAAGCAUAUCAAUAAGCGGAGGA